CCAUCCCCUCACCAUACACACCCACAUACGGAAAGAAAGAAAAGAGAGGGAGAGCUCGAGAGAGUGAAGGAACAGAGAAGCUAAGGAAGAAGAGGAGGAGGGAGAAGGAGCCCACACCGGCGGCACUGGAGCUCGCCGUCACCGUUGACGUUAUCGAGAGGAGGAGGAGCAUGACCGCCACGAGGAGCCACUGUCAUCGUCAUCCCCGCGGGCUGCCACUGUGUGCGCCAUCCUCGCCGUCCAAUCCACGGAGCCACGAGCUCGCGUCGCCGUCGCGAGCUGAACGCCAUCAUCGCCGUCAUUGUGGCUGGAGGCAUGGAGGUUUGUGAAGAGAGAGAAGAUGUGCGAGGAAAGAGCGAGAGAGAAAGAGCGCUCAUGCUGCCAUGUGCCGUCGCCGCUGUUUGGGUCGCGAUAGUCAAAGCAGCCACCGUUGGAGUCCCCUGGAGCUGCCGCUGCUCUAUUCUUGGUCCCUUUUUGUGUGUUGCUGUUGUUAUUGCAGAAGCGUUAUGGAGCUGUGGUUAUGACUACCGCUGUUGCGAGCCAGUUGAAAGAGGGGUUUUGACGCAUUUUAUGACUUUUGAAUUUUGACAAUUCGAGAGCUGUUGUUGGUUGGGUUUGGGCUUGAGGCACUGAUUGGUAAGUGAGGUAUGUAUUGUUCAUGUUAUUGAGAUUGAAAUUCUUAUAAGUGAAAGAUGAAUUUGAAUUGUCGGAUAAUUAUUUGUUGUGAGACCGUGUAGUUAGGUUUUCACCCUCUACAGACUUCUCUUUUCAGGACAGAUGAGGAAGCUCACCGAAGUUUUUGCUAAGUUCUUAGCUAUGCUGUUUUUAUUUGUAUAUAUAAGUUAUAGUUUUCCCUUGCCUGCAUUAUUAUAUUCUUGAAGCAGGGAUAGGAGUCGUGAUUAUAAUGAUAUGUAUGUGUAUAAUAUUUGUAAGUUACUUGUGUAAGAAGUUUUGUAUAUAUGUAUAUGCAUGUUUGUAUGAAG